GUCUCCCCCCAGCUGCAUGUUCCUAUUAGAAUUAAGGCUACCCCGAGAUUUAAGUCUCUGUUUCUCCACAAUAGCUCCAGCCUUCAAGUUAACCUAAAAUUUGGCCAGCUUUUUAUCUUCUCCCUUAUUCUUCUCAUUUUCCAAAUCCACCAAACCUUCCAAAUUAGUCAACAGAUCCAAUCUGGAACCCAAUUUGCCUUUCUCCCUUAUAUUCAUUUUAAUCAGAUUAUUAUUCCGAGAAUUGCUCUAUGCUUUCCUUUUGACCACCAUCCAUGGCCCGUAAACAACGCCUUCUCCUCCUUUCCCCACCUCCGUCGGAGUAACAUUCAUUUGGUCCUUCUCCGGUGCGAGCUCCGAUUGCAGCGAAGCACAUAACUCCUUAGUAUGACCGUGCUUCCAGCAUGUGAAGCAAAUAGUCGGCAACGCUUCAUAUUCAACUCUCUGGUUCAUGCCAUUCACAAGGACUUGAGCAAUCAAAGGCUUGUCGAAGUUGAUGUAAACAACCAUCCUAGCAAAGCGGCCUCUAAUCUUACUAUCGGUAUUGAAAUCUAACCGAACAACUUUUCCAAUAAUCCCUCCUAUUUCUUCAAGAAUUUUGUUUUUGUAUAAAAAUCCUAGAAGACCUGGUAACCAUAUCCAAGCCAAAACCAUGCUUGGAUAAGGUUGUAAGGGACUAAAUUCUUUUGUGCAAGUUUGAACUGUCAGAUAUUGACCAUAAAUCAAAGAAGGACCCUGGGACAAAACUUUAGUAUAAUCAUCAAUGGAUUGAAAUUUAGCCAUAUAAUAUUCAUUCUCUAUGUCCAUAAAAUGAAAAGGCUUGGAAGGAUUCCAAAGGCUACUGAUUCGAUUGUUUAGAGCUCUAUACCCAAUGUUUCUUCCGAGUAAUUUUAAAAUUACCAUGAGUUCCAUUUCUUUGAACAGGAUUUGUUAAAUCUUGAUAAACCAUAAUAUAUACAUUAGAGAAUCAAGCAUGAUAAGUUGACUUUUGAGAAUUAAAAUUGCUAGGUUGUUUCCCUGAAUUGAGGUAUUUAAAUUUACAGGAUUGACAUCAAAUACCCAUAAUUUUCGUGAGAUUUUGAGCCUUUUAGAGCAUAUAUCUUUCUUGCUCACUUAUUUUAUUGGUUAUGAGUGUGUCAACAUUAAUUUUUUAUUCUAGAACUUGCUUCGAUUAUGCAUGUCAAGACCACAUCUUUGAUUUGAUAUACUGAGAUGAUAAAGGCACUUAGGUUUUAACCCACUUACCCCAUAAAAAGUUUACCCACAUAAUUGACCCUUAGUGAACCCCUUUUAGCCUUAACCAUUGUUUCUUGAUUUUCCCCUUAAUGUUAACCCACAACUUAACCUUUUUUUUUAUUCAUUAAGAAUUUCUCUCUUUUUAUUGACUUCCUUUUUUAUCGAGAUUUGAUUUGAUUAGUUACCUAACUAUGUUCGUUCAUUUCAGCUGCUGAAUUAUUUCUUAUUAUGUACUUUCCAUUAUUGUACUUGUUCUUAUUUUUAAAAAAAUAAUUAAAAAAACCUUAUAUUUAUAUUCAUAUAAUUACAUAUUGUUAUAAAGAGCUUAGAUAAGUUAAAGUUAUUAUAUUGAGAAAAAGCUCACUUCAUUAGUUUUGGAUAGUUUAAUUCUGGCACUUGUUUGUAAUUCAGUAAUUAGCUUUAUUUUUCUAAGUUUGGUAAUUUAUUAAAUUAAUCUCGAUUCUAACCCUCUUUUUCAGCCUUUAUCCACACCUUUAACCUAAGCCCCAUUACAACCCUGUUAAAGACCUUUUGCUUUGUGUAUCAUCUCAUUUAUAGUGUUGGAGAUUUAAUUUUCAUGCAAACCUAUGAUAAUAACUUUUCAUGUUUGACUAUUGAGUGCUUAAUUAUUGAACCUUAAACACUUUGAGUGAUUUGAGUGAAUCUUUAGUGAGGAUGUCAACCCUUGUCGAUUUGGAGUUAAAGGUUAUUACUUAGAUAAAGGGGAAUACCUAUGAUCUUAUGAUUAAAAUGCUCAACUUGGAUUGUUUGAAACUUUAAUGUUCUUUUAGUUGGAUUCUCAAUGUAUGAUUACUUGUAGAUUACUUCAAAACAUUUUUUAUGAGAAUUAUAAGUUGAGAAGAAUUUAUUUUAAUUGCGAGUUGAGGAUUUUGCUUGAUGACAAGAAAAUGCUUAAGUGUGGGGAUAUUUGAUAAACCAUAAUAUAUACAUAUUUUUAUCCCAUGCUUGGCAUAUUUAUAGAUGACUUAUCAUUAGUUUUAUUGAAUCCAAUGCUCCUAAUCCUUUAAUUUCAUGUUUCAUACUCAGGAGAGCAUAGGAAAGUGAAAAGAGCAAGAAACGAGCCAAAAACGGACAAAAUAGGCUGAUUUCAGUGUUCCACAUGGCCUAGGCACUUCCACAUGGGUAAUUCACACACCCGUAUGUGACACACGGGCAGGCCACACACCCGUAUGCAUGGCCGUGUCGACAUUAAACCAUAUCAAAAUUGCACACGGCCUGAGCACCUUCACACAGGCGUGGCACACGGCCUUGUCCCUGUCGAGCCCAAGUCUAAUUCUAUUCGGAAAAGGAUAAUUUUGGGCUAUUUUAGGCAUUCCAAAGUUUAUAUAAACACCCUAGAAGAGGAUCAAAAGAGGAUAUACAGAGUAGAAGGAAUACUCGAAGACAACUAUCGGAAUCAGCUCAGAAGCAGGAUCUACUACAAGACUGAAGAUCUCCAUUCAAUUUCUUUAAAAGUUCUUUAGGUUUCUUUAUGUUUCUUUGUUUUCCCAAUUUUGAGAUGUUUUCCCCCAUCGUUAUGAAAUAAACUCCCUAAAUACCUACGGGAGAUGAAACCUAAGACAGAUCUUAUCACUAUUUGAAUUAUAUGAUAAAUACUUGUUCUUAUUCUUAAUUAUGUGUUCUUAAUUCUUGCUUUAAUAUUUC
rnacentral:lncRNA from 1 species